rnacentral:misc_RNA from 1 species
AAAUUGAACUCUAAAGAACGUUUGUAAACACUACUGCUGACGAGGACACGCUAAAAAUGUACACAAGACUAUAUCGCGGUGGAACCUUUAUAUCCCCGAUCCCCCUUGAAGACCCGCCGUCAGAUCCUGUGGCCCCGACACGUACAGCAGAACCUGUCGCUUCGGGGAGUAUCGCUACAUACGGACCACCCCGGGUCAAAGAGAGGCCGUGGGCCCGGGAUAAACGCCUCGGUACACGCAACGCCGGUGACGAAAGUGAUGAAGAUGAAGAAGAUAAAAAGGCCUCAGAGGAAGAGCUAGCUAAAGAUCUCCAUGUUGUGUCUGUUGAUGUAAAAAUAACCGAAAAUUGCGAGAAACACAGAACAUCUCAGUACUCGUGUACCAAGGCUCGCAAGAAUCAGGACGGGGUGUCCCUACCCCCGGAGUUAGUCGUCCGGCGGGGUCAGCCCUUUAGAAUCACAGUCAAAUUUAAUCAGCCAUUCUUAAAAGAAAAACAUGGGAUGCAGAUAAUAUUCAUUACAGGAAAAAACCCGAGACCCUCCGAUUUCACAUUAGUACAACUGGAACCUUUCAAAUCAGUGGAAGCUGAACAUGGGUGGAAAAGCCAGGUAAACGAGACUAAAGGCGACAGUCUGACCCUGGACAUCACCCCGUCCAGCUCCUGUGUGAUCGGGGAGUGGUCACUCAGUGUGACCACGGUCUUCUCCAGCAGUUCCCUGUUCUGUUUCUUGUUUCCAGACGACAUCAAUAUAUUGCUGAAUCCUUGGUGCAAAGACGACAUAGUUUACCUAGAAAACGAGAACCUUUUGAAUGAGUAUGUUUUGAACGAUAGAGGCGUGAUUUUCGCUGGGAAUUAUCGACAGAUUGGAGGGCGGCCAUGGAACUUUGGACAGGUUUUAUUUCUUUUAUAAACACGAACACAAACUGGAUGUAUCCAUGGAAACUUGAAUAUCCACUUAAAUUUUUUCUAUAUUUGUGGUAUCAAUUUAUGGAAUUUCUCUUUUUUCCCCAAAAAAGUUUGAGGAAGGUGUCUUAGAGAUUUGCUUUCAUCUUUUGCGACGAUCCCACGGUAACACAGUUAACGGAGCCAAGAUGUCAGACCCGAUUCAAAUCUCACGGACCAUUACCAAAAUUUUAAACUGCCAGGAUGAUGACGGAGUCCUCGUGGGGAAUUGGUCCGGAGAUUACAGUGAUGGCAAAAAGCCAACUCAUUGGACCGGAAGUGCAAAGAUUCUGCGCCAGUACGAAAAAAAUAAGGGGGACCCUGUUUGUUUUGGUCAAUGCUGGGUAUUUUCUGGGCUCGUUACAACAGGUACGUGUAUAUAUCAUAUUAGAUCUAUAACAGUCUCUUUAGAACUCUAUCUUGUAAAUUACAAAUCAUUUUACUUUUUGAGAAUCUAGUCGAUUAGUUGCAUGCUUUUCAUUUUGAAAAGAUUUUAAUUUUGUUAAAGACAUGAUUUUCCAAACAAAAAAAUCUUUGUACAUGUACAAUUCGAUUAAUAAAUCCCGGUAAGCUGAUUAAAAAAAUCAUAGACAUUAAUAUGUUUCCUGUCCAAAGUUUGUAGGGCGCUCGGGAUGCCGGCGAGGAGUGUCACGAAUUUCAGUUCUGCGCAUGACACUGACUGCAGCUUGACUAUAGACACAGUCAUGUGUAAGAACGAGAAAGGCGGCUUGGAUAAGAUACCGGAACUCUGUUACGACUCAGUCUGGAAUUUUCACGUCUGGAAUGAAGUAUGGAUGGCCCGCGGGGAUCUAGGUACCAGUUAUCACGGCUGGCAGGCAAUAGAUGCAACGCCGCAGGAACUCAGCGGGGGGACAUACUGUUGUGGCCCGGCGUCAGUGGCCGCCAUUAAGAGAGGCGACUGUUCCGUCAACUACGACACAGCUUUCGUUUUCUCUGAAGUAAACGCCGACAAAAUAGUGUGGUGCCGGUUAAAGGAGGACAAAUGGCAGAUGUUAUACAGCGAUACAGAUGAUGUUGGUCGGUGCAUCAGUACCAAGGUGGCGGACGGGAAGGCCUUUUCAGAAACUCUCAGUGUCGGUUCCGAAAAGUUCCGGGAAGACAUAACUGACAGCUAUAAAUGUAAAGAGGGAACUCUGGAAGAGAGAAUGGCAGUUAUGCAGGCCUCUAAGUCUGCCAAAGUGGACCGGGAUAACCUCAAGACACAACUAAAAGAUCUUAGAAUUAGCAUUCUGGAUGAGGAUGGUAUCAUGGUAGGAGAAAACUUCACGGUCAAAACGGAAGUGACGAAACUCUGUGAACAAAAGCGGACGGUUUCUAAGUUGAUUGUGGAGGUGUACACGAAGAGGUACACCGGCGAUAUCGUGUCCCACGUGACCUCUCAUACAUUUACGGACAUCGCUUUGGAUGGAAAGAAAGGAGAAAAACAAGUUCUGACUCACGAGGUAAAGGGCGAGACGUAUGUCCCUCAUCUUGUGGAACAGUGUGCAAUGGAGGUGCGCGUGACAGCACUGAUCAAAGAAAAUGGCGUAAUCUACAUCAAGAGUGACGAAUUCCGUCUACGAAGACCAGACCUGUCUUUCGAGGUUCCAAAAAAUGCAAAGAAUGGAGUCCCAUUUGACCUGACAGUUUCCUUCAAGAACACACUACCACAUCCUCUUACGAAAUGCAGCCUCGAUUUGGACGGAGUAGUGGAGGACGAUGAAGUCAAGCUAUCGGACGUUCCCGCCAAUUCUGAAUGGAAGCACACGGUCAAGGUCACAGUAAACAAAAGUGGGCAACACCAGAUAAGCGGAAGCUUUGACAGUGCGGAACUGACGGACAUUUCUGGGUACAUCAACUUCACCCUGAAGGAUUAGCGCUGUGCGAAACUUUCACAGCCGCGCCAUGCCGAAACCUGUGACUUAUAGUGUCUGCCCGACUGUAACAGCAAAGUAUAGGGAGAGGGAGGGAGUACAAGUGUUUUGUUAGUAUGUAGCGAGGGAGAUAAUGGCAUAGCAAUACAGUGGUGCAUAAUGAUUUUUUUUAAACCACUUUGUUGGAAAACUUUAAACUAUUUUUUAUUUUACAUUUUCUUCAUACUUACUAUAGAUUGUAAUACUAACGUGUUUUAAGUAAUAAUUAGUUUCUAAAAUCUUUUAAAUGUUAAUUGUUUCAUAGGUCACUUUUUAUAUAUCCAUUUGUAUAUCAUUCUGUAGAUUUUAUACUAUUUUAUAUGAGGUAUACUGUUAAUAAAAAUUGAAAUAAG